UGGAUCCUACGUGAUGACCCGAAAAACGCUUCACUCUUUUUUCAAUGGAUUAAGCUAUCAGGAAUUUCCAAUUUUGUGAAUAUAUUGAAGAGAAAAAGAGAGAGUUUUGGUGUGCGGCGCAGAUAGGGUUGGGAGGAAAUGGGGAAGGGAAAUUAGACGCCGAGACGAGAAGAAACGAUGACGACAGAAUAAUCAACGGAAGCAGUGGGAAAUGGGAGGAGAAAAUGAUUAGGACGGAAGAGGAGAGGGUCGGGUAGGGAGGGAGGGUAAAACAGAGAGAUGGGGAGGGAGG
rnacentral:lncRNA from 1 species